UACGUAGGGACCAAGCGUUGUUCGGAUUUACUGGGCGUAAAGGGCGCGUAGGCGGCGCGGUAAGUCACUUGUGAAAUCUCUGAGCUUAACUCAGAACGGCCAAGUGAUACUGCAGCGCUAGAGUGUGGAAGGGGCAAUCGGAAUUCUUGGUGUAGCGGUGAAAUGCGUAGAUAUCAAGAGGAACACCUGAGGUGAAGACGGGUUGCUGGGCCAACACUGACGCUGAGGCGCGAAAGCCAGGGGAGCAAACGGG
rnacentral:rRNA from 1 species